CGACGGGACACCAGCAGGACGCGGCGGAUGUCGUCACUUCCGGGGGCGGAGCGGGCGGAGAUGCGCACAGGUGAAGAAGCCGGCAGAGGUCAAGCGCGGGUCCGACCGUGCGUUGUGAGGCUCCCACCGAGUUAGUUGGAGACAGGGUGGGCAGGGAGGAAGCCAGAUGAGAAGCGGGUAGGGGAAGGCUGCAGACUCUACCUGCGGGAACCUUUGCGUGGCCUGCUAGGAAGCCUCAAGACUUCCAAAACUAUGUUGAAUAAGAGUGGCAAGAGUGGACAUCCUUGUCUUGUUCCUGAUCUUAGUGGAAAUGCUUUCAGUUUUUCACCAUUGAGUAUGAUGCUUCCUGUGGAUUUGUCAUAUAUGGCCUUUAUUAUGUUGAGCUCCUGAUAAAUGAAAAUAUGAAGAAGGUCUAAAGCAGUGUGAUACAGGACUUCCCUGGUGGCGCCGUGGUUAAGAAUCCACCUGCCAAUGCAGGGGGCACGGGUUCGAGCCCUGGUCCGGGAAGAUCCCACAUGCCGCAGAGCAUCUAAGCCCGUGCGCCACAACUAUUGAGCCUGCGCUCUAGAGCUCAUGAGCCACAACUACUGAGCCCACAUGCCACAACUACUGAAGCCCACGUGCCACAACUACUGAAGCCCACAUGCCUAGAGCCUGUGCUCCGCAAUGAGAAGCCCACGCACUGCAACGAAGAGUAGCCCCCGCUCGCCACAACUAGAGAAAGCCUGCGCGCAGCAAUGAAGACCCAACAU